CAGUAGCCACGGUAAUACGUAGGGUGCGAGCGUUGUCCGGAAUUACUGGGCGUAAAGGGCUCGUAGGUGGUUUGUCGCGUCGUCUGUGAAAUUCUGGGGCUUAACUCCGGGCGUGCAGGCGAUACGGGCAUAACUUGAGUGCUGUAGGGGUAACUGGAAUUCCUGGUGUAGCGGUGAAAUGCGCAGAUAUCAGGAGGAACACCGAUGGCGAAGGCAGGUUACUGGGCAGUUACUGACGCUGAGGAGCGAAAGCAUGGGUAGCGAACAGGAUUAGAUACCCCGGUAGUCCCUGUCUCUUAUA
rnacentral:rRNA from 1 species